rnacentral:rRNA from 1 species
AGUGAACGCUGGCGGUAGGCCUAACACAUGCAAGUCGAACGGCAGCACAGUAAAAGCUUGCUCUUACGGGUGGCGAGUGGCGGACGGGUGAGGAAUACAUCGGAAUCUACUUUUUCGUGGGGGAUAACGUAGGGAAACUUACGCUAAUACCGCAUACGACCUACGGGUGAAAGCAGGGGAUCAUCGGACCUUGCGCGAUUGAAUGACCCGAUGUCGGAUUAGCUAGUUGGCGGGGUAAAGGCCCACCAAGGCGACGAUCCGUAGCUGGUCUGAGAGGAUGAUCAGCCACACUGGAACUGAGACACGGUCCAGACUCCUACGGGAGGCAGCAGUGGGGAAUAUUGGACAAUGGGCGCAAGCCUGAUCCAGCCAUACCGCGUGGGUGAAGAAGGCCUUCGGGUUGUAAAGCCCUUUUGUUGGGAAAGAAAAGCAGCAGGUUAAUACCCCGCUGUUCUGACGGUACCCAAAGAAUAAGCACCGGCUAACUUCGUG